rnacentral:rRNA from 1 species
CCUACGGGGUGCAGCAGUGGGGAAUAUUGGACAAUGGGCGCAAGCCUGACCCAGCAACGCCGCGUGAGGGAAGAAGGCAUUCGGGUUGUAAACUUCUUUUCUCAGGGACGAAGAAAGUGACGGUACCUGAGGAAUAAGCCACGGCUAACUACGUGCCAGCAGCCGCGGUAAUACGGAGGUGGCAAGCGUUAUCCGGAUUUACGGGGUGUAAAGGGCGUGUAGGCGGGACUGCAAGUCAGAUGUGAAACCCACGGGCUCAACCUGUGGCCUGCAUUUGAAACUGUAGUGCUUGAGUACUGGAGAGGCAGACGGAAUUCCUAGUGUAGCGGUGAAAUGCGUAGAUAUUAGGAGGAACACCAGUGGCGAAGGCGGUCUGCUGGACAGCAACUGACGCUGAGGCGCGAAAGCGUGGGGAGCAAACAGGAUUAGAUACCCGUGUAGUC